CCCUUAGAUGUCCUGGGCCGCACGCGCGUUACACUGAUGCAUUCAACGAGCUUAUAACCGUGGCCGAGAGGCCUGGGCAAUCUUGUUAACGUGCAUCGUGAUAGGGAUAGAUUAUUGAAAUUAUUAAUCUUGAACGAGGAAUUCCUAGUAAACGCAGAUCAUCAAUCUGCAUUGAUUACGUCCCUGCCCUUUGUACACACCGCCCGUCGCACCUACCGAUUGGAUGGUCCGGUGAAGCCUCGGGAUUGUGGUUCUUGCCGCUUUAUUGUGGCGUGACCGCGAGAACUUGUCUAAACCUUAUCAUCUAGAGGAAGGUGAAGUCGUAACA
rnacentral:rRNA from 1 species